rnacentral:misc_RNA from 1 species
UCUAGGUUUUGGGCAUAAAUAACUAUAAAAAAGGCAUACAAUAUAAUAUAAAACUAUUAGAUAACAAAUCACAUUAUAACAUUGCUCUACCCGGACAUUGAAAGUGUGAUUCUUUAUGGCCUUUCACAAAGUCGUGCAAAUCUAUGCAUUUGAUGUAAUUUGCUUUUCUUAAAAAUAAAAAAUUUUGCAUUGUAGUCCUGUUUCUGUAGCAUGCUACCGGAACUGUGAUUGUGGCCACAAGAAGUCAAUAAUGAUUUAAAACCAUGGGGGGACAAGAUGAGAGCUUCUGAAAGGUUAAGUAUUGUGCAGUGGUGGACCACAAAAGGUUACUCAAUUUCUGUAAAUCACGCUCCUUGGUUGCUAG